UACGAAGGGGGCUAGCGUUGUUCGGAAUCACUGGGCGUAAAGCGCUCGUAGGCGGAUCUUUAAGUCAGGGGUGAAAUCCCGAGGCUCAACCUCGGAACUGCCUUUGAUACUGGGGAUCUCGAGUCCGGGAGAGGUGAGUGGAACUGCGAGUGUAGAGGUGAAAUUCGUAGAUAUUCGCAAGAACACCAGUGGCGAAGGCGGCUCACUGGCCCGGUACUGACGCUGAGGAGCGAAAAGCGUGGGGAGCAAACAGG
rnacentral:rRNA from 1 species